GACGAACGCUGGCGGCGUGCCUAAUACAUGCAAGUCGAACGAGAGCGACCGGUGCUUGCACUGGUCAAUCUAGUGGCGAACGGGUGAGUAACACGUGGGUAACCUGCCCAUCAGAGGGGGAUAACAUCCGGAAACGGAUGCUAAAACCGCAUAGGUCUUCGAACCGCAUGGUUUGAAGAGGAAAAGAGGCGCAAGCUUCUGCUGAUGGAUGGACCCGCGGUGCAUUAGCUAGUUGGUGAGGUAACGGCUCACCAAGGCAGUGAUGCAUAGCCGACCUGAGAGGGUGAUCGGCCACAUUGGGACUGAGACACGGCCCAGACUCCUACGGGAGGCAGCAGUAGGGAAUCUUCCGCAAUGGGCGAAAGUCUGACGGAGCAACGCCGCGUGAGUGAAGAAGGUUUUCGGAUCGUAAAACUCUGUUGUUAGAGAAGAACAAGUGCUAGAGUAACUGUUAGCGCCUUGACGGUAUCUAACCAGAAAGCCACGGCUAACUACGUG
rnacentral:rRNA from 1 species